ACAGCAGUGUUUAUGUACAUGGCUGCCCAUGUCAUGUUUUACACUUCAAAGCAAACAGGUCUUGCCUUUGCUGAGGUAAGUGUAGGUUGAAUAUAUGUUUAAUAUUUAGGUGAUGUGCAGGGGAUGAAUUUACUAAAAAUGUUUAAUUGCAGGUGUCAAAUUUUGAUAUAGAGGACGUUGUGGUUGAUGUGGGCUUUUGGUUUAAAGGCAGCACCAAUCACAAGGGCUUUGUGGCAGACAAUCAACCAAGAUUGAAGAGGCUACGGGGAGCCUUUGACUGAAGUGUAUGUGCACCGUCUCCCCAACCACAGCCCACAGGAAUAUGAUGCAUUGGAGAAGGAGUUCCUGGACUAUCAGACAAUGUCUAGCUUGGCAGCAGACCUAGACAUUGAGGGCUUCUGGGCCAACAUGGCAAGUUUAAAA